AUUCCAGCUCCAAGAGCGUAUAUUAAAGUUGUUGCAGUUAAAAAGCUCGUAGUUGGAUUUCUGGUACAACGCGCCUGGCCCGCAUUUGUGAGUGCCGGCGCGCGUUUGCCAUCCUUCUAGAAAACGUUUCUACCUGGGCAACUGGGCCGGACUCGCGAUCUAGAUCUUUUACUUUGAAAAAAUUAGAGUGUUUAAAGCAGGCUUUUGCUGUGAAUACAUUAGCAUGGAAUAAUAAUCUAGGACUUCGGUUCUAUUUUGUUGGUUUCUAGAGCUGAGGUAAUGAUUAAUAGGGAUAGUUGGGGGCAUUCGUAUUUAACUGUCAGAGGUGAAAUUCUUGGAUUUGUUAAUGACGGACUACUGCGAAAGCAUUUGCCAAGGAUGCUUUCAUCA
rnacentral:rRNA from 1 species